rnacentral:lncRNA from 1 species
GAGAUUACUUGCUUCUUUCAAGCGAUUCUUGUUGCAAAAUUUACCAGACAAGGUAUUAGUAUCAUAUAAUAACAUUCAUAGAACUGUAACUCGACUGUUGAUUGGUUGAUCUCAGUGCGGUUAAUUAAUCUCAAACAGCAGUGUAAAAAUUAGUAACAAACUGAUGUGAUUGGUGGUAAAACAGUGGGAUCUAAAAUCAACCAAUCAGCUUAAAGCAUUCCUCAAAUAACUUCCACAAAUUGCUUCAAAACAAAAAAGCAUGGCGGCCGCACUACAUAAAGUGAAAAUUGAGUUCGGGUGGAAAAUAUCUUAAAUAUGCAUGCUUUUAUUUUUUUUAAAAUGGAAAAGACUUUGUCUUAAAAAGGCUAACAAAGCUUACAUAGUUGAGUGCAAUUUCAAGCCUUUAGCGUUGUAUAAUUUGAUAUAACAAAGCAGGAAAAGUUUGUCACUGGACGAGUCGCUAUCAAGGUAAGAUAAAAUUACAACUUGUCGUCCAUUUUUAUGUAUGUUUUAAUACGUAAUGGAUGGUUUCUCGUGAAAUGUUUUAUCCAUAUUGCACUCGAAACUAUCCUAUUACCAACACUUAUUUGUUGAUUUUCCAACAUGAGCUCUACCUUUGAAUUUACUAUAUGAGUAAAUUCUUAAUUAAACACGUCCGAAUUUUCGCGGCACAUUCGCGGUCAUUUUUCGCGGUCAUAAAACCACAAGCACUAAACAAGACCUUUUAUUAUAAAUGUAAUGACACUAAAAGGGAGGCCGGUCGCGCGCGGUGGUGAGAUUUUUAAGAUUUUCAUCAAAAUAGUUUAAAAAAGUUUUAAAAAUGUUUUGGAGGAGUUUUAAGUUAAAAAAGUUAAGAAAGUUAAUAAAGUUAAAAAAGUUAAAAAAGUCUAAAAAGUUGAAAAAGUUGAAAAAGUUGAAAAAGUUGAAAAAGUUAGGGUUAGUGGUUAGGGAUUGGGGUUAGGGUUAGUGUUAGGUGCCGCAAAUUUAUUAUUAUGAUAAAUUCAAAAUGUGCCGCGAAUUUAUCAUAAUGAUAAAAUUCGGGCGUGCUUAAGAAUUUACUCGUAUAGUAAAUUCAAAGGUGGAGCUCAUGCUGUGAUUUUCGGUAAAAUAAAAAGUUGAAUAAGCAAGAGAAAAAAAGUUCAUCUCAAUAGACAAUUCCCAUUAUACAUGUAGACUAAUUUUAAAACUAGGGAAGAAGAUGCAAAUAAAUCACCACAGCUAGAGGGCAUAUUAUUUAAAAUGAAUACAUUUAUAAAGUUUGGUUGCGAAAUGUUGUAAAUUGCGGAAAAUAUAGCCUUGCAAAGUUCGCAAAUUUUGUAUACUUCUGUAUUGCGUGCGGAAUUGCUACCAUUUUCGGUCCAAAUGUGCUUUGCACUUGGUUGAAUUACAAUGUCUGUUUAAUUAUGUACUGGAUAUACAGCUAAUUCAUAAAAGAUUGUCCACUGCAAACCUUAAACUUUAAACAUUAAACCUUAAACGCUAAGCAUGCAAAGCGUAAUGAGAGCACCACACUGUUAAUUUCAAAGAGUUAUUUUAACUCCACCAUAGGAGUUAAAACUACUCAACUCGGGAG